rnacentral:rRNA from 1 species
AGUGAACGCUGGCGGUAGGCCUAACUCAUGCAAGUCGAACGGCAGCACAGUAAGAGCUUGCUCUUACGGGUGGCGAGUGGCGGACGGGUGAGGAAUACAUCGGAAUCUACUUUUUCGUGGGGGAUAAUGUAGGGAAACUUACGCUAAUACCGCAUACGACCUACGGGUGAAAGCAGGGGAUCUUCGGACCUUGCGCGAUUGAAUGAGCCGAUGUCGGAUUAGCUAGUUGGCGGGGUAAAGGCCCACCAAGGCGACGAUCCGUAGCUGGUCUGAGAGGAUGAUCAGCCACACUGGAACUGAGACACGGUCCAGACUCCUACGGGAGGCGGCAGUGGGGAAUAUUGGACAAUGGGCGCAAGCCUGAUCCAGCCAUACCGCGUGGGUGAAGAAGGCCUUCGGGUUGUAAAGCCCUUUUGUUGGGAAAGAAAAGCAGCAGGUUAAUACCCCGCUGUUCUGACGGUACCCAAAGAAUAAGCACCGGCUAACUUCGUG